UCCGUAGGUGGAUAAUUAAGUCAGAGGUGAAAUCCUGCAGCUCAACUGUAGAAUUGCCUUUGAUACUGGUUAUCUUGAGUCAUUAUGAAGUGGUUAGAAUGUGUAGUGUAGCGGUGAAGUGCAUAGAUAUUACACAGAAUACCGAUUGCGAAGGCAGAUCACUAAUAAUGUACUGACACUGAGGGACGAAAGCGUGGGGAGCGAACAGGAUUAGAUACCCUGGUAGUCC
rnacentral:rRNA from 1 species